rnacentral:rRNA from 1 species
CCUACGGGAGGCUGCAGUGGGGAAUAUUGCGCAAUGGGCGCAAGCCUGAUGCAGCAACGCCGCGUGAAGGAAGAAGGCUUUCGGGUUGUAAACCUCUUUUGUCAGGGAAGAGUAGAAGACGGUACCUGACGAAUAAGUCACGGCUAAAUACGUGCCAGCAGCCGCGGUAACACGGUGGUGGCAAGCGUUGUCCGGAUUUACUGGGUGUAAAGGGCGUGUAGCCGGGUUGACAAGUCAGAUGUGAAAUCCUUCGGCUUAACCGGAGAACUGCAUUUGAAACUGUUGAUCUUGAGUACUGGAGAGGCAGGCGGAACUCCUAGUGUAGCGGUGAAAUGCGUAGAUAUUAGGAGGAACACCAGUGGCGAAGGCGGUCUGCUGGACAGCAACUGACGGUGAGGCGCGAAAGCGUGGGGAGCAAACAGGAUUAGAUACCCUAGUAGUC